rnacentral:rRNA from 1 species
CAAGUCGAACGAAACACCUUAUUUGAUUUUCUUCGGAACUGAAGAUUUGGUGAUUGAGUGGCGGACGGGUGAGUAACGCGUGGGUAACCUGCCCUGUACAGGGGGAUAACAGUCAGAAAUGACUGCUAAUACCGCAUAAGACCACAGCACCGCAUGGUGCAGGGGUAAAAACUCCGGUGGUACAGGAUGGACCCGCGUCUGAUUAGCUGGUUGGUGAGGUAACGGCUCACCAAGGCGACGAUCAGUAGCCGGCUUGAGAGAGUGAACGGCCACAUUGGGACUGAGACACGGCCCAAACUCCUACGGGAGGCAGCAGUGGGGAAUAUUGCACAAUGGGGGAAACCCUGAUGCAGCGACGCCGCGUGAGUGAAGAAGUAUCUCGGUAUGUAAAGCUCUAUCAGCAGGGAAGAAAAUGACGGUACCUGACUAAGAAGCCCCGGCUAACUACGUGCCAGCAGCCGCGGUAAUACGUAGGGGGCAAGCGUUAUCCGGAAUUACUGGGUGUAAAGGGUGCGUAGGUGGUAUGGCAAGUCAGAAGUGAAAACCCAGGGCUUAACUCUGGGACUGCUUUUGAAACUGUCAGACUGGAGUGCAGGAGAGGUAAGCGGAAUUCCUAGUGUAGCGGUGAAAUGCGUAGAUAUUAGGAGGAACAUCAGUGGCGAAGGCGGCUUACUGGACUGAAACUGACACUGAGGCACGAAAGCGUGGGGAGCAAACAGG